rnacentral:tRNA from 1 species
GGGGCUGUGGCUCAGCGGUAGAGCGCUUGCCUCAUACGUAUGAGACCCUAGGUUCGAUCCUCAGCACCA